GACGAACGCUGGCGGCGUGCUUAACACAUGCAAGUCGAGCGAGAAAGCUCCUUCGGGAGUGAGUACAGCGGCGAACGGGUGAGUAACACGUGGGUAACCUGCCCUAGGGAGCGGGACAACCCGAGGAAACUCGGGCUAAUACCGCAUAAUUCGUCAUGUCUCAAGGCAUGACGGGAAAUGGUAGCUUCGGCCUCCGCCCUAGGAUGGGCCCGCGGCGCAUUAGCUUGUUGGUGUGGGAACGGCUCACCAAGGCGACGAUGCGUAGCUGGUCUGAGAGGACGAUCAGCCACACUGGGACUAAGACACGGCCCAGACUCCUACGGGAGGCAGCAGUGGGGAAUCUUGCGCAAUGGGCGGAAGCCUGACGCAGCAACGCCGCGUGAGGGAAGACGGCCU
rnacentral:rRNA from 1 species